CUACCCGGGUGGGUGGGCAUCGCGACCAGAUGUCGUUCCGACCGACGACCGGCGCGAUUCCGGUCCACACUGGGUGGA
rnacentral:tRNA from 1 species